rnacentral:rRNA from 1 species
ACUCCUGCGGGAGGCAGCAGUGGGGAAUAUUAGACAAUGGGCGCAAGCCUGAUCCAGCCAUGCCGCGUGAGUGAUGAAGGCCCUAGGGUUGUAAAGCUCUUUCACCGGUGAAGAUAAUGACGGUAACCGGAGAAGAAGCCCCGGCUAACUUCGUGCCAGCAGCCGCGGUAAUACGAAGGGGGCUAGCGUUGUUCGGAUUUACUGGGCGUAAAGCGCACGUAGGCGGACUAUUAAGUCAGGGGUGAAAUCCCGGGGCUCAACCCCGGAACUGCCUUUGAUACUGGUAGUCUUGAGUUCGAGAGAGGUGAGUGGAAUUCCGAGUGUAGAGGUGAAAUUCGUAGAUAUUCGGAGGAACACCAGUGGCGAAGGCGGCUCACUGGCUCGAUACUGACGCUGAGGUGCGAAAGCGUGGGGAGCAAACAGGAUUAGAAACCCGUGUAGUCC